rnacentral:misc_RNA from 1 species
UUUCUCGGCUAUGCUAUUGAUUUGGAUCAUAUUCUUGAAAUCCGUUCUUGAAUCGCUCAGCCAUUUUAGUUUCUUCUUCUUUACUAACCUUACAAUUUCUCCAAUCAGCUCUAUCUGCUAUAUUCAACAAGCCUGCUAAAACCUCACGACCAAAUUGAGCUGGGAAUUUUUCAUUCUCCUCAAUAACAUGUGACAAAAUAUCACCUCCAGGAACUUCAACAUAAAAUAAGCUGCAACUUCUGUCGAACUGUGUCCGCAACGCUUGUCUUCCUUCUUUAACCAUAGAAAGCUUAAAUCCCAAUUUGUCAGCAGCCAAGUUAAAAAUAUCUCGAACCGCAGAUGCCCUGGACGAGGGAAUAGGAACAACCUGGAGAUUGGCAUGACUUCCUCGCACGAACUCAAAGAAAACUGCUUCCUUCCCUUGCUUUUUGAAGUAAGCUUUGAGGCUGCUUUGAAGUCGUUCCAGUUCCUUUUCACAUUCCAGUGGCAGAGAUAACGUAUUGGGUGUGUGUUCAAUAGGCAUAAUCAGCACAUGAUCAGGUGUUAAAGGUCCUUUAGCAAGUGCACAGUAGUAAUAUUCUCCGACACUAGUGAUGAGAUGUGACUCAACAUUUGGGCUUGACAAACAAAACCAGCAUUCUCUUGACCUAUUAGAGCUUGCUGUCCCAGAUGCUGAUCUGUCACCUUCUUCCUGCAAGCUGUGCUUGAAGUUGCAAUCAGG